UAGUAACUGCGAGUGAAGAGGGAAAAGCUCAAAUUUAAAAUCUGGCGGGCUCUGCUCGUCCGAGUUGUAAUCUGGAGAAGCGUUUUCCGCGUCGGACCGUGCAUAAGUCUCCUGGAACGGAGCGUCAUAGAGGGUGAGAAUCCCGUCCAUGGCACGGACCGCCGAUGCUUUGUGAUACGUUUUCAAAGAGUCGAGUUGUUUGGGAAUGCAGCUCAAAACGGGUGGUAAAUUCCAUCUAAAGCUAAAUAUUGGCGAGAGACCGAUAGCGAACAAGUACCGUGAGGGAAAGAUGAAAAGCACUUUGGAAAGAGAGUUAAACAGUACGUGAAAUUGUUGAAAGGGAAACGCUUGAAGUCAGUCGCGUCCGACGGAACUCAGCCUUGCUUCGGCCUGGUGUACUUUCUGUCGGACGGGUCAACAUCAGUUUUGACCGGUGGAAAAAGGUAGGGGGAAUGUAGCGCCGUUUCGGCGGCGUGUUAUAGCCCCUUGCUGUAUGCAUCGGUCGGGACUGAGGACCGCAGCACGCCUUUUUGGCCGGGGGUUCGCCCUACGUACCGUGCUUAGGAUGUUGGCAUAAUGGCUUUAAGCGACCCGUCUUGAAACACGGACCAAGGAGUCCAACAUGCUUGCGAGUGUUCGGGUGGAAAACCCUUGCGCGCAAUGAAAGUAACAGUUGGGAACCUCCGCAAGGGGGUGCACCGACGCCCGGCCCUGACGUUCUCUGACGGUGCUGCGGUAGAGCAAGUAUGCUGGGACCCGAAAGAUGGUGAACUAUGCCUGAAUAGGGCGAAGCCAGAGGAAACUCUGGUGGAGGCUCGUAGCGAUUCUGACGUGCAAAUCGAUCGUC
rnacentral:rRNA from 1 species